UACGAAGGGGGCUAGCGUUGUUCGGAAUUACUGGGCGUAAAGGGCGCGUAGGCGGUGUGUCAAGUCAGGCGUGAAAGCCCCGGGCUCAACCUGGGAACCGCGCUUGAGACUGGCACGCUCGAGUUCGGGAGAGGAUGGUGGAAUUCCCAGUGUAGAGGUGAAAUUCGUAGAUAUUGGGAAGAACACCGAUGGCGAAGGCAGCCAUCUGGACCGACACUGACGCUGAGGCGCGAAAAGCGUGGGGGAGCAAACAGGG
rnacentral:rRNA from 1 species